CUGAGACACGGCCCAGACUCCUACGGGAGGCAGCAGUGGGGAAUCUUCCGCAAUGGACGAAAGUCUGACGGAGCAACGCCGCGUGAACGAUGACGGCCUUCGGGUUCGUAAAGUUCUGUUAUACGGGACGAAUGGUACGACGGUCAAUACCCGUCGUAAGUGACGGUACCGUAAGAGAAAGCCACGGCUAACUACGUGCCAGCAGCCGCGGUAAUACGUAGGUGGCAAGCGUUGUCCGGAAUUAUUGGGCGUAAAGGGCGCGCAGGCGGCGUCGUAAGUCGGUCUUAAAAGUGCGGGGCUUAACCCCGUGAGGGGACCGAAACUGCGAUGCUAGAGUAUCGGAGAGGAAAGCGGAAUUCCUAGUGUAGCGGUGAAAUGCGUAGAUAUUAGGAGGAACACCAGUGGCGAAAGCGGCUUUCUGGACGACAACUGACGCUGAGGCGCGAAAGCCAGGGGAGCAAACGGGAUUAGAUACCCCGGUAGUCCUGGCCGUAAACGAUGGAUACUAGGUGUAGGAGGUAUCGACCCCUUCUGUGCCGGAGUUAACGCAAUAAGUAUCCCGCCUGGGGAGU
rnacentral:rRNA from 1 species